rnacentral:rRNA from 1 species
UGGGGAAUAUUGGACAAUGGGCGAAAGCCUGAUCCAGCCAUGCCGCGUGUGUGAAGAAGGCCUUUUGGUUGUAAAGCACUUUAAGUGGGGAGGAAAAGCUUAUGGUUAAUACCCAUAAGCCCUGACGUUACCCACAGAAUAAGCACCGGCUAACUCUGUGCCAGCAGCCGCGGUAAUACAGAGGAUGCAAGCGUUAAUCGGAAUUACUGGGCGUAAAGCGCGCGUAGGUGGUUAUUUAAGUCAGAUGUGAAAGCCCCGGGCUUAACCUGGGAACUGCAUCUGAUACUGGAUAACUAGAGUAGGUGAGAGGGGAGUAGAAUUCCAGGUGUAGCGGUGAAAUGCGUAGAGAUCUGGAGGAAUACCGAUGGCGAAGGCAGCUCCCUGGCAUCAUACUGACACUGAGGUGCGAAAGCGUGGGUAGCAAACAGGAUUAGAUACCCUGGUAGUCCACGCCGUAAACGAUGUCUACCAGUCGUUGGGUCUUUUAAAGACUUAGUGACGCAGUUAACGCAAUAAGUAGACCGCCUGGGGAGUACGGCCGCAAGGUUA